rnacentral:rRNA from 1 species
UACUUAGGGGGCAAGCGUUGUCCGGAAUCAUUGGGCGUAAAGAGCGUGUAGGCGGCUUGGUAAGUCCGCUGUGAAAGUCCAGGGCUCAACCCUGGAAUGCCGGUGGAAACUGUCAAGCUUGAGUCCGGAAGAGGCGAGUGGAAUUCCUGGUGUAGCGGUGAAAUGCGCAGAUAUCAGGAGGAACACCAAUGGCGAAGGCAGCUCGCUGGGACGGUACUGACGCUGAGACGCGAAAGCGUGGGGAGCAAACAGG